rnacentral:lncRNA from 1 species
UGUGAGGUGUGAAUGAUUACUAUCCUCAUUCUGCAAAUGAGACAGAAGCUCAGAGAGAUGAAAAGACUGGCCUGGGCCAAGAUGGCAUGACCGGGAAUGGCAGAGUCAGUCCAGUCUCCACCUGUGCUGCUCACUCCACGAACAAGGAUGGUGGCAGGAGUUGUGGUGCAGUGGCUCACACCUAUAAUCCCAGCACUUUGAGAGG